rnacentral:rRNA from 1 species
GCCAGCAGCAAUAAAGCCUGCAGUUCAGACUAGGUAAUCCAUCUGAAGCUAAACAGGUUUGGUUCUGGCCAGUGCAUGGAUGGGAUACCCACUAGGAAAGCUGGGUUGCUGCUGGAA